UGUCUUUAUCGUCUAGCCUGGUAGGACGACACCCUUUCACGGUGUAAACACGGGUUCAAAUCCCGUUAAAGAUAU
rnacentral:tRNA from 1 species